CACGGAAUGUGGUGGAACUUGGGGAAGCAGGUCGCCCUCUGUGGCUUUGGGAUACUCCCAUGGGACCUGCUUCGUGCAGGUUACGGCCGCCUGGCAGGUGCAGCCUUCCACCACGACUUCCACGACUGGUGGAAGUAGAAAUGGAAAAGCUCGCUCACUCUCCUCUGGUCUCAAUUUGGAACAAUUCCAAGGGGUCAUCCAGCUCCAGAGCCUCCUGUGGGCUUGGACGGGGUCUGUGCUGCUACUGCCUUGGAGGGAAUCCCUGUCUCUGCCCAGCCCUGCUCCCUCGCACACUGCUGCACAUCGGCUUCCGAGCGCCUCCUGGAAACCGCUUGCACACAAGUCUCCACCGCAGAGUCCGUUUCCAGGGAACCCAGCCCGAGGCAAAGGGUGAACGGGCUUUAGUUAGAACAAAUACCAAGUUCACCUGUAAAGUAUUUAUUCCAUCUCUCAA